GCCUGAGAUUAAAUAAUUUUUGCAGGGAGCAAUGUCUGGCAGGGGAAAUUCAUGGGUAGGUCUCCAGGACUUUAGGUACCUCAUUUUAAGGAAGAUCUGUCUUGAGUCUUCGUGACCUGUGUCAUCUCCUCUACUUGUUGAGGGGCUUGGAGUGUUGCCUUAAUAUGACUGAUGCUCACAAAUCUUUGGAGGAGCUUUGGGCUAGUGACCUGCUUGGUUUCCCUGGGGUCAGGUGAAAUGCCUACCAUCCUUCAGGGUCACCUGGUUUUCAAACCUCCUCAACCAGGAAUGAGGGUGUUUCACUGUUCUACAACCUCAGACAUUUAUUAACUGCUCAAAUUUACACCAGAGUUACCACUUUAGAACAAAGGUGACACAUAGGUUUUCAAUGAUUGAAGAGGUCCUGAGACAUAUGACAUAAUAAGCAAAGGACUUCAGACCUGAACAAAGUCCUAAGAAAGAUACAAAUAUAUCCAUUUUAAUAUCAGCAUGUAACAGAAUUAAUGAAAUAACAACAGGGACUCAGAUGUGCCCUUCUAGGGCCAGGAAAGUUUAUUCAUCCAUCUAAUAACUCCACAAUUCAUGCCCCCUCAGAAGUAAACUAUUCCAUGACUUCAAGGGGGCUGACACCCAGUUAGAAUAUCCUCUGAAGAGGGCCUUAGGCUUCUUUCCUCUAGCCAUAGUAGCCCCUGACUUUAAUGUUUUCACAAAGGAGUCAGCUGCCCUGGAGUAAAACACUUCAUUCUCCCUCUGUCUGCACUGGAGGGGUCUGAGACAUGCCCUUCUGAUGAAACAAGCUAUAGAACUGACCUUGUGACUGAGGAGUGUGUCUCAAACAUUCAUCCUCUGCUAUAGUGUGCUUGAGACUGAAUCCUGUGACUAAGAAUGCAUAGGAGAUUCUCUCUUUGUUCAUGGCUGACUCAGGCCUACCACUGUACUAAGAGAGACCAGAACUCUUCCUCAGACCUUAUUGGAUAGCAAAUACAAAUUUGACCACCAAAAAAUCUCCGAGAACUAUGGAUUGAACUCCCAUGGCCAAUGAAUAAAAACUCCAGCGUUGAUCCAAGGUCAUCUAUCUAAGCUUCUCACCAGAAAGGUCACUGUCCCUCACACCCACACCUGUGCAGCUUAUUGUAAGUUUAAAUAGGGAACAGAUCCAAGGACUUUGAUCCAACAUCUCAGAAGAAACCUCAGAUUGCUGUCAAGUCUGCAGUGGAGGCCUCGGAGAUAAGAAUUUUCUUGAGUUCUCUGAAGAUGUGUAGGCCUGGAGUGCCUGGACCAUCCUCUUCUACAGAAGUCUCUUGCAGACUCAGCUACAGAUGUGGAUAUGCUAGACUGUGAAGUACAGUUAGAAGGUGAGGUAAUGCUAGGACUUCGUGAGCUAUGAUCUGGACAGCUGAACAAACUAAAAAAUGUAACCUAGCCGGCAACAGUUAUCCUAAGCUGUUGGAAGAAGAAAUCAGUUGCCACCUUUUCUCUCCUGCAUUAACAGAAACUAUGAAGAUAUAAAACUUUGAAUGAGAUUUAGAAACUUAUGAUGACUGCUGGAAACUUUAUCUACUGUAUAAGCUGAACACAACCUCGAAGAAAUAUCAAUGCUUGCAUAACCACUUAUCCUGUUGUUGUGACCAUUGCCUGGACUCAAAGAUAUAUAAGGCCUACCAUGGUGUAACUGAAGAUGGGAACAUGUGAAGUAGCCCUAGCUCUUCUGCUCAAGGAUUACAUCCAAACGUCUUCCUGCUACAUGUAUUCUGAGACAUUCCUCCACUGAAGAAAGGGGCCUUGGCCUUUUCCUAUCUGACCAAAGUCUUCAUAGCCCAAAGAUAACUGUCAGAAUAAAAUCCAACCUGUUGGAAUAAUGGAAGAAUUGCUGCCUGGACUUUCGAACAGCACACACAAUACAUGGACAUUCUCAAUACUGAAGAAGAAUAGGAAGCUGAUCAAACAAUACUGGAACUUCCUCUGCUCCACAAGAGAUGUCCUGUCCUACAUGCAGAGGAAUGUGUAGAUGGACAUAUAUUUGAAGAAGACACUGAACCUAAGACUACUACUGCAUUAUAGCCUCUUAGAAGACUUCUAAGACUGCUACCAUGCCUACCACGGACAUUCAGAAGAUGUGUAUUCUUGACUGUGAUUUCAAGUUUGGAGUUGAUGAUGUAGUGAGUGGCUGGAAUAUUCUAUAAUUUUCAAGGUACCAAUCAAUUUUCAACU
rnacentral:sRNA from 1 species